rnacentral:lncRNA from 1 species
UUCAGUAUCUCUGCUAAGGGAAACUCCCUAAAAGGAGUCAUGGAGAGUCAGAUGUGACUGAACAACAACAAAGGAAGAUAGUAGAAUAAUUGGUAGAAUUUCUGAGUUCAAAGAGACAAGAAAUCUGUCAUAUGGGAUUAUGGAAUCUCAGGGGUUGAAGGGACCUCAGUAAUCAUCUGAUAACCACUAUACCUGAAGUAGGAAUCUAGCAGGGGCUCCUCAAUAUAUAUAUAUGAAUGACAUAUGAUCCCUGGACGUGAUGCUCUAGUGAGGAGGAUAUGACAGACAUAUAAAUAAUUCCAAGGAUAAAUUCGUAAAGGAGAAGCAGAUAAAAUGUCGCAAGGUCUGAGAAAGGAAAGAGCAUUUCCACCUGGCAAUUGGUGUAAGCUUCAAGAGAUUUAAAAAGGUCUUCAAAGACACAAAUACAAAAGAGAGGAAAAGAGCACUGUUUUCA